rnacentral:rRNA from 1 species
GACGAACGCUGGCGGCGUGCCUAAUACAUGCAAGUCGAGCGAAUCAAUAGGAGCUUGCUCCUGUUGGUUAGCGGCGGACGGGUGAGUAACACGUGGGCAACCUGCCUGUAAGACUGGGAUAACACCGGGAAACCGGUGCUAAUACCGGAUAAUCCUUUUCCUCUCAUGAGGAAAAGCUGAAAGUCGGUUUCGGCUGACACUUACAGAUGGGCCCGCGGCGCAUUAGCUAGUUGGUGAGGUAACGGCUCACCAAGGCGACGAUGCGUAGCCGACCUGAGAGGGUGAUCGGCCACACUGGGACUGAGACACGGCCCAGACUCCUACGGGAGGCAGCAGUAGGGAAUCUUCCACAAUGGACGAAAGUCUGAUGGAGCAACGCCGCGUGAGCGAUGAAGGCCUUCGGGUCGUAAAGCUCUGUUGUUAGGGAAGAACAAGUACCGGAGUAACUGCCGGUACCUUGACGGUACCUAACCAGAAAGCCACGGCUAACUACGUGCCAGCAGCCGCCGUAACAC